AUGCUUCUCCUAAAGACUAAGCCAUGCAUGUGUCCGAAUAAGAGGUAGCAAUUCUCUCUGAAUCUGCGAACGGCUCCGCAAACCAGUUGUAAACAUCGGCAAGUACGUCUGGAUCCCCCUGGGGUGAAGGAUAAUAUGGGAUAACCCUGGUAAUUCUGAGGCUAAUACGAGAAUGUGCAACUCGACCGACCGGGCAACUGGGAAGUUGGGGAGUGUGUGAUCUAAUAGCAGCUUAAACGCCAGGAAAGGACGCACGCUCUAACCGCCAUAACAAACGGUAGCUCUGAUCCGCAAGGUGAUGGGUGUCCGGGUGGUUCUUGCAAUGUGCUUCUGACCUAUCAACUAGAUGGCAGCGUAACGGACAUGCCAUGGUUACAACGGGUACAGAGGAUAAGGGUUCGAUCCUGGAGAGUGGGCCUGAGAGAUUGCUCAUACUUCUAAGGAAGGCAGCAGGCGCGCAACGUUCCCAGUGGACAUCGUCCGAGGGCGUUAGGGGACAUAUGAAUGCCUGCCAAUAGGUGGGCAAUUCAAAUGGGACUGUUGUAAACAGCCUA
rnacentral:rRNA from 1 species